rnacentral:misc_RNA from 1 species
GAUGAAGAACGCAGCGAAAUGCGAUAAGUAAUGCGAAUUGCAGAAUUCAGUGAAUCAUCGAAUCUUUGAACGCACAUUGCGCCCCUUGGUAUUCCAUGGGGCAUGCCUGUUCGAGCGUCAUUUGUACCUUCAAGCUCUGCUUGGUGUUGGGUGUUUGUCUCGCCUCUGCGUGUAGACUCGCCUCAAAACAAUUGGCAGCCGGCGUAUUGAUUUCGGAGCGCAGUACAUCUCGCGCUUUGCACUCAUAACGACGACGUCCAAAAGUACAUUUUUACACUCUUGACCUCGGAUCAGGUAGGGAUACCCGCUGGACUUAAGCAUAUCAAUAAGCGGAGGA